AUUGAACGCUGGCGGCAGGCCUAACACAUGCAAGUCGAACGAGUGGCGGACGUGUGAGUAAUGUCUGGGAAACUGCCUGAUGGAGGGGGAUAACUACUGGAAACGGUAGCUAAUACCGCAUACCUUCAGAUAUGCCCACAUGGGAUUAGCUUGUUGGUGGGGUAACGGCUCACCAAGGCGACCAUCCCUAGCUGGUCUGAGAGGAUGACCAGCCACCCUGGAACUGUGACACGGUCCAGACUCCUACGGGGGGCAGCAGUGGGGAAUAUUGCACAAUGGGCGCAAGCCUGAUGCAGCCAUGCCGCGUGUAUGAAGAAGGCCUUCGGGUUGUAAAGUACUUUCAGCUGGGAGGCGUUACCCGCAGAAGAAGCACCGGCUAACUCCGUGCCAGCCGCCGCGGUAAUUC
rnacentral:rRNA from 1 species